CAAAAACAUGUCCUUUAGAAUUUAAUUUAAGGUCUGGCCUGCCCACUGAAAAAGUUUAAAUGGCCGCAGUAUUUUAACUGUGCAAAGGUAGCAUAAUCAUUAGUCUUUUAAUUGAAGGCUUGUAUGAAGGGUUGGACGAGAUAUUAACUGUUUCAUAAAAAUUGAGUUAGAAUUUUAUUUUUUAGUUAAAAAGCUAAAAUUUUUUUAAAAGACGAGAAGACCCUAUAGAUCUUUAUACUUUUUAUAUUAUAAUUAUUUAGAUUAUUUAAGUUAUGAUUAUAUAAAGUAUUUUGUUGGGGUGACAUUAAAAUUUAAUUAACUUUUAAUUAGUGUUUACAUUAAUUUAUGAUUUUUUGAUCCAUUAAUAAUGAUUAAAAAAUUAAGUUACCUUAGGGAUAACAGCGUAAUUUUUUUAGAGAGUUCAUAUCGAUAAAAAAGAUUGCGACCUCGAUGUUGGAUUAAGAUAUAAUUUUGGGUGCAGCAAUUCAAUUAUUAAGUCUGUUCGACUUUUAAUUUCUUACAUGAUCU
rnacentral:rRNA from 1 species